GCAAGUCGAACGCGAAAGUUUCCUUCGGGGAACAAGUAGAGUGGCGCACGGGUGAGUAACACGUAGGUAAUCUACCUUUGGAUGGGGAAUAACAACCGGAAACGGUUGCUAAUACCGCAUAAUGCAGCGGCACCUAAUGGUGACAGUUGUUAAAGCGGGGGAUCGAAAGACCUCGCGUCUGAAGAGGAGCCUGCGGCGGAUUAGCUAGUUGGUAAGGUAACGGCUUACCAAGGCGAUGAUCCGUAGCCGGCCUGAGAGGGCGGUCGGCCACACUGACACUGACAUACGGGUCAGACUCCUACGGGAGGCAGCAGUCGGGAAUUUUGGGCAAUGGGCGAAAGCCUGACCCAGCAACGCCGCGUGAAGGAUGAAAUCCUUCGGGAUGUAAACUUCGCAAGAACGGGAAGAAUAAGUAAGGGUUAAUAUCUCUUACGAUGACGGUACUGUUUGUAAGCUCCGGCUAACUCCGUGCCAGCAGCCGCGGUAAUACGGGGGGAGCAAGCGUUGUUCGGAUUUACUGGGCGUAAAGGGCGCGUAGGCGGCCACCGCAAGUCGGUUGUGAAAUCUCUGGGCUUAACCCAGAAAGGUCAACCGAUACUGCGGGGCUAGAGUGCAGAAGGGGCAACUGGAAUUCUCGGUGUAGCGGUGAAAUGCGUAGAUAUCGAGAGGAACACCUGCGGCGAAGGCGGGUUGCUGGGCUGACACUGACGCUGAUGCGCGAAAGCUAGGGGAGCGAACGGGAUUAGAUACCCCGGUAGUCCUAGCCUUAAACGAUGAAUGCUUGGUGUCUGGGGUUUUAUAGUCCCCGGGUGCCGUCGCUAACGCUUUAAGCAUUCCGC
rnacentral:rRNA from 1 species